UUGAGCUCUAUAAACUUGUCCUGCUAAGAAUGCAAUAUAAGUGGGGCGCCUGGGGGGCUCAGUCGGUAAGUGGCUGCCUUAGGCUCAGGUCAUGAUUUCAGGGUCCUGGGAUGGAGCCCGACAUCA